GAUAUAUCUGCUUGGGUUUGAAAUUCUCAGUAUUUGUAUUUCUCGUGCUUGUGAACAAGCUUUGGUCGUUAAGAAAUGGACUUGUUACAUAAAUGGGAACACGUCUUGUUUUGCAAGGGAAGCAAAGUUCCCUCGACCUGAAUGGAACUUGGGAAAACAACCGAUAAAUUCUUGUGUUGGUUUUAUUUCUUUAUUGUUUUUGUUUUGUCCUGUGUUAUUUUUUCUUUCAUGUUCUGACAUCGUUUCUGUUUGUUGUUUUUUCUUCUUAGCAAGCAGUAGCCGUUUCCAGCAAGUUGUUCGUUCUAAUCGCCAGCCAGGGCUGACAGUGAAGCUGAUUUCCCAUCAAAAAAGAGAAAUAUAUGAGUAAAUCCCAUCAUUUUCAUGUUACCGGACACUUUAUUAACAUGUCACAUGUACGCUCAAUUCAUUUCUUUGUACCACCAACUGCUGACCGAGGUUGUAAUGGGCGAAGGGCGCGACUCACAAGUUGAAGGGUUUAUCGUGGAUCCUGUGAUAUCUACAUUUUCCAAAAUUCUUUAUACCAGUGACGUCAUGGAUGCUCUGAAGGUACGCGCGUGACUAUCACGUGAGCACACAUUAACAAUCCCAAAGGAAGCAAGCAUUUGGAGAAAAA